ACAACAUUCGGACCGUCGGUCUACCGAGCAAUAUCACCCGCUCGGUGGAAGAUCUUCCCUUCGUUGU
rnacentral:pre_miRNA from 1 species